rnacentral:rRNA from 1 species
AGCUUUAAGUUUUAUUUAAGGUGACACCUGCCCAGUGCUAGAUUUUGUAAACGGCCGCAGUACUUUGACUGUGCUAAGGUAGCAUAAUCAGUUGGCUUUUAAAUGGAGUCGGGAAUGAAUGGAUAUAUAGGAUUAAGCUGUCUUUGUUAUACUUAUUUGAAUUUAUUUAUUAGGUGAAAAUACCUAAAUUUAGAAAAAAGACGAGAAGACCCUAGGAGUUUUUAUUAAAAAUUAUAUUUAUAAUUUAUGUUUUUGUUGGGGCGACAUAGGAGCAAUAGUAUGUUAUAACCUCCUUUAGCAUUAUAAGCCGACUUUGUAUGUGAAUUUAAACUACCCUAGGGAUAACAGCGUAAUUCUUUAGAGUGUGCGGCCUCGACCU